GUGGGGUUGGCAAUGCAGAUCUUCAACUACCGAAAAGGAAAAUUGUGCCCUGCGAUGUCUUUCUCCUACUUGUUAUGAUCUAGUUUAUGGCAGUGAUCCGCUCGAGGAAGGAGAGAAGGACCUUGCUAGGAGUCAAGAGUAUAAGUAUUGUAUAUAUAAGUUAUCAAUGGGGGAGAGUCUGGAGGGUAUUAAGGGCUCCUUUGACUACUGAUGUUUGUCUGCUUUCUCGAGAUUGUCUGUUAUUUUAACUGUCUGGUGUUCCGUUAUGCCCUGUUCUUCUGACAUUUGGGUCAAAAUUUGAGGUACAAAUCCAAUCCCG
rnacentral:misc_RNA from 1 species